rnacentral:tRNA from 1 species
GCCGGAGUGGCGGAACUGGCAGACGCGGCGGACUCAAAAUCCGUUGUCCUUUACGGGACUUGUGGGUUCAACUCCCUCCUCCGGCA